GGUUCCAACGCCCAAGCUUGUUGGGCAUCCUUCAUCUUCCAACGCCCAAAGGAGUUGGGCGGCACCAUUUUGGUUGCUGAUUUUCAAACCUUGGUUGUUGUAAAAUCAAGAAAAGGAGAUCAAGAAAAGAAGAGAAGAAAAUGAUAGAAAAGGAUCAAAGAGUUGAUCACGAUCUAGGCUUCGUUCAAAUUCGCAGGAUGAUCGUUAUUAGAGAAGAAAGAUCAACACCAUAGAGGGCUGAUCCAGACUGAUCCUGAGUGGAUACUCAUAGAGGUCGGAUACUUGUGCGACUAAAGAAGAACCUAUAUUUUUUCAGAUCC
rnacentral:lncRNA from 1 species